GACCUGGUAGACAAGCGGUCAAGUCGAGAGUCUGCAAAACUCUUAUGCGCGGGUUCGAUUCCCGCCCAGGUCU
rnacentral:tRNA from 1 species